rnacentral:pre_miRNA from 1 species
GAUAAAAGUGUAGAGAGAGAGAGCAUGGAUGAAGCUGUUAUUGUCACAGGAGAGAUGAUACUGGUUGAUAUAGAUUACUUGUUCUAAACAACCAGUAUCAUCUCGCUGUGACAACAAAUCUUUUCAAUCCUCUCAACCAUCAUCAUCAUUGUC